CCUCUUUCCCUAUUGUCUGUUAUACUGUCACCAUUUAACUAGGUAUCUCUCUUUCCCUAUUGUCUGUUAUACUGUCACCAUUUAACUAGGUAUCCCUCUUUCCCUAUUGUCUGUUAUACUGUCACCAUUUAACUAGGUAUCUCUCUUUCCCUAUUGUCUGUUAUACUGUCACCAUUUAACUAGGUAUCUCUCUUUCCCUAUUGUCUGUUAUACUGUCACCAUUUAACUAGGUAUCUCUCUUUCCCUAUUGUCUGUUAUACUGUCACCAUUUAACUAGGUAUCUCUCUUUCCCUAUUGUCUGUUAUACUGUCACCAUUUAACUAGGUAUCCCUCUUUCCUCUUUCCCUAUUGUCUGUUAUACUGUCACCAUUUAACUAGGUAUCCCUCUUUCCCUAUUGUCUGUUAUACUGUCACCAUUUAACUAGGUAUCCCUCUUUCCCUAUUGUCUGUUAUACUGUCACCAUUUAACUAGGUAUCUCUCUUUCCUCUUUCCCUAUUGUCUGUUAUACUGUCACCAUUUAACUAGGUAUCUCUCUUUCCCUAUUGUCUGUUAUACUGUCACCAUUUAACUAGGUAUCCCUCUUUCCUCUUUCCCUAUUGUCUGUUAUACUGUCACCAUUUAACUAGGUAUCCCUCUUUCCCUAUUGUCUGUUAUACUGUCACCAUUUAACUAGGUAUCCCUCUUUCCCUAUUGUCUGUUAUACUGUCACCAUUUAACUAGGUAUCCCUCUUUCCCUAUUGUCUGUUAUACUGUCACCAUUUAACUAGGUAUCUCUCUUUCCCUAUUGUCUGUUAUACUGUCACCAUUUAACUAGGUAUCUCUCUUUCCCUAUUGUCUGUUAUACUGUCACCAUUUAACUAGGUAUCCCUCUUUCCCUAUUGUCUGUUAUACUGUCACCAUUUAACUAGGUAUCUCUCUUUCCCUAUUGUCUGUUAUACUGUCACCAUUUAACUAGGUAUCUCUCUUUCCUCUUUCCCUAUUGUCUGUUACACUGUCACCAUUUAACUAGGUAUCUCUCUUUCCCUAUUGUCUGUUAUACUGUCACCAUUUAACUAGGUAUCCCUCUUUCCCUAUUGUCUGUUAUACUGUCACCAUUUAACUAGGUAUCCCUCUUUCCCUAUUGUCUGUUAUACUGUCACCAUUUAACUAGGUAUCCCUC